GACGAACGCUGGCGGCGUGCCUAAUACAUGCAAGUAGAACGCACAGUUUAUACCGUAGCUUGCUACACCAUACACUGUGAGUUGCGAACGGGUGAGUAACGCGUAGGUAACCUGCCUGGUAGCGGGGGAUAACUAUUGGAAACGAUAGCUAAUACCGCAUAAUAUUAAUUAUUGCAUGAUAAUUGAUUGAAAGAUGCAAUUGCAUCACUACCAGAUGGACCUGCGUUGUAUUAGCUAGUAGGUGAGGUAACGGCUCACCUAGGCGACGAUACAUAGCCGACCUGGGAGGGUGUUCGGCCACACUGGGACUGAGACACGGCCCAGACCCCUACGGGGGGCAGCAGUGGGGAAUUUCCGGAAAUGGACGAAAGUCUGACCGAGCAACGCCGGGGGGGUGAAGAAGGUUUUCGGAUCGAAAAGCCCUGUUGUAAGAGAAAAACGGGUGGGAGGGUGAAAAGUUCACACUGUGGCGGUAUCUUACCAAAAAGGGACGGCUAACUACG
rnacentral:rRNA from 1 species